rnacentral:rRNA from 1 species
UACGAAGGGGGCUAGCGUUGCUCGGAAUCACUGGGCGUAAAGGGUGCGUAGGCGGGUCUUUAAGUCAGGGGUGAAAUCCUGGAGCUCAACUCCAGAACUGCCUUCGAUACUGGGAAACUUGAGUUCGGGAGAGGUGAGUGGAACUGCGAGUGUAGAGGUGAAAUUCGUAGAUAUUCGCAAGAACACCAGUGGCGAAGGCGGCUCACUGGCCCGAGUACUGACGCUGAGGUGCGAAAGCGUGGGAGCAA